UUCACAUGGACAAGAAAUAGAAAAAAAAAGGUUCCACUUGCAGUAGAAUGCUAAAAUGGGAAGAGGAUACUAGAUUUGUUCAUUUUGCAACCCAUAUAUUAAAAUUAGCAGUAAUAUAUGCUAACCAAAGGAAAAUUUUAAGCAAAUAUAACAUCUAAUGCCUCCCAACAAAUUGUUUAUUUAUUGUGAAGAAAAGAAAAAAAUACAGUGGUAAAUUCAGACUACAUAUUGACCAUGUGAUCUAAAUUAAGAUCAUCAAUGAGAGACAGAUGGGUAGCAUGUGCUUCCAGACCUUAGAAGCAACAUCCCUGUACAAUAAUAGUCCAGUUUAGAAUGCAUAACCUCAAUCUAAUCAUGAGGAAACAUAAGACAAACACAAAUCCAGAAAUGUUCUAGUAAGAAUGAGAGGAGUAGCCAUAUUUAAAUAUGGCAAAGUCAUAAAAAACAAAGACUGGAAAUUUCCCAAAGUAUAAGAAGCUAAAAAGACUCACCUGUCCCAAGACCGGAUCCAAGGGGGUUGGGGGGCACAUAUGCUGUAAGGUCAAUCAUCAAAUUGGAAUAUGGAUGAAAAAGUAUUGUUUCUAUGUAAAUUUAUAAAACUGACAUGAAAUACACUCAAGUGUUUAGCAUCUGUGUAGCUUAACUUAAAAUAGUUCAGGAAAAAAAUUAUACGUAUAUAAAAGAAAACUCAUCCACACACAAGAGUAAGCAAAAGGGAUGUUCUCUGCACUAUUUUUAUUUCUAAAUCUUUUGCAAAUUUAAGUUAUUUCCAAUUUAAAAGUUUAAAGAAAGCUAAAUCCACCUAAGAGAAACAAGAGCAACAGGAAAAUAAAAUUUGAAAACCCUGCUAACCAAUUGCUUUUAAAACAUUCACAAAUGUAUAGGUUUCAAGUUACUUUUCAGAAUUUUUUCUUCUUUAAGAGCCUACAUUCUUUCUUGAAAUAUGAAAAUACCUACAGCUUUCUAAAUAAGUUAAUAUGUUGAAGUCAACAUUCCAUCAAUUGUAGGUUGCUUAUUAGAAACAUCAGGAGGGAGGAAAAGCAUUGAAAUUAAAGACCUGUAUUCUCCACAUUAUCUACCUUUACCAUUCAUUUGCUGUUGAUUGUACUCCAGUUCCCAAAUGUAAAGCCCAGAUCUUAAAUUAUGACUUCAGUUUUUAUGACAAAGAGGAAUAUCCGAGACAUGAACUGAGUGGAAAACGAGGAGGAAACUCUACUACUAUAUUGAAGAAAGCAAGCUGAAAACUGUGUGCCCUAAUUGAGUACCUAAAUAACUGCAUUCUUCUCAUAAAGCAUAUCACUUUGUGGCAUAUUAAAAUUCUGGAAAGGUACUCUUGCUAGUUUUUACCCAUGAGUUUGACCUCUGAAGCAAAAGCACUUUUGCUAUUUUUUCUUUGAAAUGUAAUUCAGGAAUUUGCACCCCCUUGUGGUCUAACAUAAAAUUCUUCUUCUUCUUUUUUUUUUUUAAUUAUUCAUUUUUGAAAACUCGUUUUUUCCAGUUGGAUUUUUGCUCAGGCAAAAAUAAACCAUAUUACUUGAUUUUGUUUUCGCUCACUUGAGCAAAUGAAGAUGUCACUAAAGGGUUUUUUCCUUUGUUAAAUAAUAUUUUAAACAAAAUUAGAUAAAUUUUCUAAGAGACCUCCACAUAAACUUUUCCACAUUAACUGUGGAAAAGAAAUAACUGCACACACCUCAUUAGUUAUAUAAGGACUCAACAGGAAACUACAUGUGCAAGCUUAGCACAGUGCUUGAUACAUAAUAGAUACUCAGUGUUACUAUUUAUCAAGAUCUUCAUUACAGUGUUCUUGACAGGCUUUAUCUAUAAGAUUGUUAUCAAAAAUUCUACAGUGAGGAUAUCAGGAUGUGUUAUUUACCUAUUCAUAAAGUUCUAGCACAAUCUUGCAAAUAAAUUCCUCCAACAUACUAAUGUAUCUACACUUCCAGAUUCUCCCAACAGGCAUAUUUCUAAAGUACAAAGAAUAAUCAUCUCUGGGUGUUAGAAAUGUGGACAGUUUUUACUUUAUGUAUUUUAGACUCUUUAAUAAGCACAAAAAUAAAAUGAUUUCCACACAUCAUAUACUUAUGAAGUGGUAAGAUAACUAAACAUCCUUAUUCACCUGACAAGAAGCAUUCCUCAUAUUUGUCAAAAAUCAUCUCUCGGGCUGAUUUAUCUUUUUUUUUUUUUUUUUUUUUUUGCUUUUUAUCGGUACCGGGGAUCAAACUCACGACCACCUGCUUGCAAGGCAGGUGCUUAUGCCGCUGAGCUAAAUCCCCAGCCCUGAUUUAUCAUUUUAAGGGGCUCUUUGAACAAGAAUGCUAAAUCCUACUGGCAGUGACUUAAAUUUGAAAAUACCCAUUACAAAGAAGACAUUUUAAAGGGCCAGUGUUAAUGGCUCACAAAAAUAGCUAAUAUUUACUUAUAUGUUAAACAUUGUUGAAAGGCUUGAUUAAAAAGACAUGGUGGCGCCUGUCUGUAAGCACAACCCCAGAUACUCAGGAGGCUGAAACAGAUCCUGUUUAGGCAAUUUAGCAAGAACCCAGUUUCAAAAAGGACUCAGAUGUAGUUCAGUGGGAAAGCAUCCCUAGGUUUCAUCCCCAAAACAACAACAAAAAAAAAUAGGAAGGGGACUUUAAUACAUCAGCUUAUUUGCAUGCUUAAAAACUAUCUACUGAGCUACUAAUAUUAUUCCUUUUCAAACAAAAAGCCCAACUGAUGAAGUAUCACCUAAGGUCACACAUGUAGCAAAUUAGCAGAGGGUGGAUUCACACCAGGCCUUUUUCUUCAAGUCCACCCAUUUAAAACUAUACAAAAUUGCCAUGGAAAUUUAAAACACAUAGCACUCUGCUCUGUUAUUUUUGAUGAUCUCAAAGUGCUAAUGUCCAUUGCUUUUCCAACUUUACCUUAAUGUAAUGCUAACCUUUUCCCAUUUCCUUAUUUCUUAGUACUUGAGAAACUUCUAUAUCCAUUGUGAACUCACUAUGAUGGAGUAUACCUUUUUAUACUCAAACAAUUGUAGAUCAUCAUAAAUUCUUUUAGAGCAGGAACUGAUAGAAACAGUGAUAUUUCAGAUUUUAAACUGUCGAAUUCUUUAGAAAAUGCUCUUUGGGGUUAAGAAAAAAAAGGUAGCCAACCAAAAAUAAUCUUAAAGAAAAAGUGUCUCAAGCAAAUACAUGAUUAAGAAGACUUUAAAGAAAGAUGUUAAAAUGUUGAUAAUUUAGCCAAGUGUGGUGGUACAUGCCUGUAUGCCCAGAAUUCUUAGAAGACUGAGACAGGAGAUUUGACUCCAAUUUAGGCAAUUUAGCGACCCAGUGAAAUUUGCAAGUUCCAGUACUGCCUGGGGAAUUUUUUGAAAUCCUGAAUCAAAAUUUAAAAGGGCAGAGUGAUUUGCCUAGGGAUAUAUCUCAGUGAGAACUGAGGGUGGGUGUCAUAGCUCAGAACUGAAGGCCCUAGGUUCAAGCUCCAUACAAGAGGGGAAAAUAUCUGAUGCAUUACUUACUGCUCUAUCUUAGCGCCCAGUUUUUCAAGAUUAACAAAAGUUUGCCCUAGGAAUUUGGGGCAGGUCUCAUAUUUUAAGCAUCAAUUGUUAUCAUCUGUAAAAAGAUAAUAUAAUACCUACUUCACAGGACAGUUAUGGGCAAUAAACACGUACAAUCUACAAGGCGUUUAUGUAGCACAGUGCCCUCCAGUCAAUACGUGGUAGUUACUACUGUACGUUUUUUAGCGCGUUGCAUAACGGAAAUCGUCUCUGCUGGAUUCAGUAGCUAAUUUACCACUUUUUAAAUCACCCUAAGUGACAUUCAAAGAUUACCUAUUCCUAUCUCCAACUUGUAGCAGAAACUAAAGACUAGAAAAAUGGCAAGAGAAAUUGAAUUCGAUGGAAACGCCCGCAUAACAGGCAGCCUAGACAGAGAAGGGCUCCGUAUUUUAGAAAACUAGGCAAGGGCGCGCGCGACGUGGAGGGAAGGGGGAAACCACGCCUCCUGUGUUUGCGCAGGUUGGGACUGCAGUUUGGUAGCCCGGGCACUGGAAAUCACAGAUGAGGGCUCUGCCACGUGAAACCAAGGACACCACUAUAAUUCCUACCUAGUUUAAACUAUUCUGCAGUUUAAGUCAGGCGUGGUUGCACACGCCUGUAAUCCCAGCACUAGUGAGGCUGAGCGAGUUCAAAGCCAGCCUGGGCUACAUAGUGAGUUCAGGGUUGGCCUGAACCACACACUGAAGCCGUCAGUUCCGCGGCCAGCUGUGAUAGCUCCCGGUUACGGGUUCGUGACCCGCAAAAGCAGACUGGCGGGUUGUUUUACGCACUUGUGUGUCCAGGCACAUGUUUUCAGAGGCACAUCCGGUGGUUUGGAGUUUUGUAAAACGUUCUUUUCGCCUAAACUAGACCCCAGUUUUGUUUACCUUCAACUGUAGAUUAAAUGCCUGUAGUCUGAUAGGUAUUUGUGGAGUUUAUGGCCAGCAAAUGAAGUCUACGCCCGCCGCUGUACAAAGACGCACCACACAAGCAAGAAAAUAGCGAACAGGCACUGAAAAGGCGGAGGCGCACAACCAGGAUUCUACGCAUGUGCAAAGCCUAGCGUGUGCGUUUGCGCCUGCGUAAAAAUCGGGCUAGCGAGAGGGUGGGGGUUAAUAGGAGGUAUUGACAGCGGUGGAAGCAGCCCGCGUUCCCGGCAUGCUUCGGGGCGGCGGGGUUGGCUCUAACGAAUUUGAAUGAGGAGCUUCAGCGCUUUCGGCGCCAUUUUCGAGUGAUGCCUGAUCUCAUCAAUCUAGCGGGAGAGACUGGAUAACCUGUCCGGGAGUAUAGCACCACUAAGACCACGCCAAAAAAAUCACUAAAAAAUCACCAAAAAUAACUUAGAGAAAAGAGCAGCCCGCGGAACUUCGCCACGCUUGGCGCAGUCGGUUUUGACCUUUAAGUGAGCCAGUUCUGGAAAACAACCAAAGUUCUUUGAUUGAAUACUCGCAUGCAUUGGAACAUGAUUAGGAGAUUAAGGUUUCAUGAUAAAGUGAAGACCGUAAUAAAACAGCCUCUUAGCCUAGCAGUUCUUAUUUUUCUUUACCUGUCCUGAUGAAGAUGUCUUUUAAAAGAUAUACAACAAGGAACAAAAUGCAGUUUGUUAAUAGCAAAAUUCUGCUCUUAAUAAGGUGGAUAUUACUUUCCCUUCAUGGAAAAAGUUUUAAGUGUUCUCAUUAAAUAAUAUUAAAAAGGAGAAAAAUUAAUGUUCUAAAAUUUUUAGAUAGACUUGGCUGUAAUAAGCAUUUAGGUAUAUCAUUUACAUAUUUGGGGAAAGAAGAGUCCAUCAUCCAGUACAGUCCCAUCUACUAAAAAGUUUUAUUUUCUCUAUUAGUGGAUUUCUUGUGGCUCGUGUUUUAUUACUAAUAGCACGAACUCCUUCAAUGCAGAAUUGACUUGCACCAAAAACUUAAGAGCGUACAUCUUUAUCGUGUCUCUGAAAUAAAGUUCAGCAAUUUCUAAUUUUUUUCUUUCCUUUUUUGCAAGGCUAACCCUGUUUGAAAAUUUAAAAAGAAGGCUGGGGAUGUAGCUAAAUUCUCCUUGGUCAAACCUUCAGUAGUGGGUGUGUAUGGGGGCCUUAUAAUGCUUACCAAGCAUUCUCCCACCACGCUUCUCCCUCAGCCCUGUUUCUUUUUUUUAAAGGCUAUAUGCAGUGAAAAACAGUUUGGCAAAAUGUUUAGGCUUUUUUUUUUAAAUAUCAGUGCAAAAUGAUGUUACUUGCUGAUUUUGUGUGUGUGGUAUGGGUGUGGUGGUGUGAAGCAAGAUACUGGCUGAGGAUUAAAUCCAGGGCCUUUGUAAUGAACUGCAUCCACAGGCAACCCCACCUGCUUUCUGAGACAGUAUAAAUUGGUAAGUUGCCUAGAUUAGAUUGGAACUUGUGAUCCUCCUGCCUUACCCUCCCUCAGUGGUGGGAUUGCAGGUAUGCAUCACCAUGCCCCAACUCUUUGUACUUCUUAGGAAUAACAUUAACAGUUGUAUAUGCCUCAGUCUAUUUAAUCUUCACAAAUAAGAUAGUGUUUUUAUGAAUAUGGUUCAAAAUUAGAACCUCCAUCUGAGACCAUUUAGAGUCCAAAGGAAAUAUCUGAAUAGGUGGUUAAUAGUAUGUAAUGGUCAGGCUUUUAUGAAUUUACUCUGGUGAUCUGAAAUUGUUUUCCACUUGAUCAACAUAGCUGGAGUCAGAGUUAACAGUUCCAAGAGACACCCUGUAAUUUGUUUAUCUCUCAUCUGCCAUAAUCUUCUGUUCUGUUAUGUUGUUUUGAGACAGGAUCUCACAAAAUGUUUAAGGCUGACUUUGAACUUACUAUAUAGCCCAAGCUGGCCUCAAAUUCUGUAGUCCUACUGCUUCAGCCUCCCAAGUGCUGGGAUUGCAGCAGGCGCCAACAAUCCUAGUUUACCACAGUCAUUUUUCCUUUUUGCUAUAACUAAGUACUUCCUCAUUUCUUCUUUUUAGAGCAUGUUGACCGAGGAGUUGUCUCUGUUUCAGUCUUAAUUUCAUCUCCUAUAUAUACCACUAAUUUAAUCUUUUAAGACAGUUUUUUUCCUACAUGGUGAAACUCGCUUCUUAGCUGGAUUAUUUGUGGUUUUGCUUUAGCCUUUUCUGAGUUGUUCAGUUUUCUUCAGAUGGACUAGAUUUAAUCUUUUCAUUUUCCUUCCUAUAUUUCUUUAUCGUGUAUCACCACUUUAGUUCUCCCUUAACUAGUUUCAAUACCCUUUUAAAAAUGAAGCAAAAUCUCUCAUGUGGCAAGUGUUUCUGUCCCUCAUACACACCCACUACUGAAGAUUGACCAAGGAGAAUUUAGCUACAUCCCCAGCCUUCUUUUUUAAUUUUUAAACAGGAUCUCACCAAGGUGCUCAGGCUGGCCUCAGGCUUCCAGUUCUGCUUCAGCUUCCUGAAUAGCUGGAAUUAGAGCAAUCUUUUGCCAUACCUGGCAUAUCUUGUUCUUAAUGUUUUUCUCUCUCAACUCACUUGAGGCGUAUACACUGGUCCAUUAAUUGAGCCUCUUUUAUUUAUAUAUAUUAACCUUUCUGGUUAUUAGCAAUAUGGAUAAAAAUUUAAAAACAAAAGACGUAAUGAAAUAAGCAAGUGGACUAAGACAUCCAGAACUUCAGAAUGUCACUCAAAAAAACUAAAUGUCAAAUUCCAAAGAUCAAAUAUUAAUAUAGUCUGACAAGUGAUCUAGUUGUGUUUUUUAUAUAGUUACACGCGAACCAGCUAUAGUAUGUUUUAUGAUUUCAUUUUAACAAAUACCUUCCUAAACAAGCAGUAAUCCAUGAAUUUAUUAUAAAGUUUAUAAUAAGAAAUUGGAAGCAUUUUAAGCCUCUAGUAAUAAAAGGUUGAUAACUCAGUAGAAUGUUGUACUACUGACUAAAAUAUAUAAGUGAAUAUUUAAUGAACUAAACUUUGCCUGUGAUUGGACUGAAGAUGUAGCUCCAUGGUAGAGUACCUCAGCAUCACCAAAAAAUUGAAGUGACUAAAGGUUAUCAAGUGUUAAGAAUAUUCACUAUAAAAACUUUACUUGAAUAAGAGAUAAACCUUACUGGGAUGAAAGGGAUCUUAAUUACUUGGGUACUUGGUUGAGAGAGAUUUCACUGUUUCCAUACUCAUCCACCUCCUAAAACCUCAGAAGGUAAGUAUUUUAGUUUGGAAACUGUACUAAUAGUCUCAGUAAAGAAAUAGAAGUAUUUGAUAUUCAAUGAAACUUUCAGGCCUAAUUAACAGUAUUAAAAUUCUCAAUGUUUCCUUAGCAUAAAAAUUAAUAUACAUACAAACCUUGUAAAAGUAAAAAAUCAGUUUAAAAAAUAAUAAUUGUGACCAAAGACAACUAUGAUUCUUAGCCUUAUAUUCAUAUCUAAUUGCAUGUUUAGUGGGGUUUUUUGUUUUGUUUUGUUUUUUCAGUGCUAGGGGUUGAACCCUGGCCUCAAAAGUAUUAGGCAAGUUUUCUACAUCCUCAGCCUUUUUUCUUAAUUUAUUGUUCUAGUGAUAAGAAAGAGCAUCUAUCAGAAAGGAAACAUAAAGUGCUUCUGGCUCAGAAUUUUUUAAGUUUUAUUUAAGAAACCUUGUUAUAUCUAAUGUGUAAAAAUAAAGUUUAAUUUUUCUCAUACUUUAAAAAUGUUGAAACAUUGUUUAUCCUUUUUCCUUUGUCAUACCCAUGUAUCACCCCCAAAAGUGCCUUUCCAGCAUCUUGAAGGAAGUGAUCAGGAAAAUAUAAUCAGUAACUCAUGAAAUAGUAAACUCAUAACUUGUUCAAAUCUGAGAAACAGUUCAUUAAAUUACGAGUUUGUUUCUUCUUUUGUACUUCAAUAAUCAAAUUUAUCAAUGAAAUUUCUGAAAUUGUGGAAUUCAUGUUUGGUAUUCAAAACAUUUCUCACUGUUAAUGACAACAGAUACUUCAUCCUAAACACAUAGUCUUAAAAUGUAAGGAUGACAGUGGUAGACUAAAUUUUUGACCUAGUACAGUGAAUACUUUUUGUCAGACUACCAACAUUGAUUGUAAGCAAAUUUUGUGUUUUAACCUAUUUUUCUCACACCCCAACAGUUUAUAGUUUAACAAAAACUUGAGAACUUGAAGAACAGCUGGAUUAACAAAACUUACUCAACUGGCAAGCAAGCAUAAUGUAUGAAUUGUGACACCAUGGCUGCCCCCACCACAAUUACCAACCAAAAAAAAUUUAAAAAUUAAAAGGUGAAGACUGAUUAAACCAGAUAUUUAGACCAUCUGGAGAAAGGAAUGAGUGGAAUCAGAACUGACAUUGAAUAGAGCACAAUGCCUUACAGCAGCUCACUUAGCAAAGGGCAGGAAGUACCACAUGAGAUGAUCUGAGCACAAAACUGAGAACUGGGCUGCUGAAGGUGAGUCCAGCACAUCAGCGCCAGCCCAGGGGAAUUUAAGAUCAUCGCUCCCAGUGGUCAAGGACCUGCCCAGAUUCCAGCCACACAAGACUAGGCUUGGGAGGUUUUAUGCCCAACUAGACCACACCCAGUGACCUUCUUCAAUCAGGGCAGAAGAAGUAAGUUCCAGCACAUCCUUGCUUGCCCAGGGAGAACUUUGGACCAUCAUCCACAGUGGUUAGGAGCCCGCCCAGCUUUCUGGAACACUGGAGGUGGCACGGGAAGGCCUGUGGACCUGACUGGAUCACACUCAGCAACCUCCAUUCAGUCCCAGGAGCUGAGGGCAUAGGAGACGAUUUCCAACAUGCCCAGGGGAAGCUUUGGAACAUCACUUGAAACACGGAAAUAUAGGAAAAUGGAAAAAAAAUGAAAGAAAAAAUGCACAAACUUCCAUCCCAUCCCAAGAAAGCCUAGGAGCCAUACACAGAAAAACAUAUAUGCCAUAAACAUGAAAUGCCUGACAUAAUAGCAACAGAAAUACGGAAGCAACUCCAGGAAGCUGUAAAGGAAUUCAAAUUAGAAAUAAUCUCCCAGGUAAAAGAAGAAAUGAUAAAAGUAAUGAAAGAGAUGCUGAACACAUCUAAAGAAGACACAGUUAAAAAAUUGGAAGGACAAAACAAAAAGAUAGAAUCCCUGGAUGAACAAUAUGAGAAACAAAAAGAAGACAUGAAGCAAAUUCAAAAAGAUAUACAGCAAAUCAAACAUUCCAUUGAACACUGUCAAAACUGCCUCAACAAAAGUGAAGAUAGAAUUUCAGACCUCAAAAACAAGAUUGCAGCUAGUGAACAGGAAAGGAAAGAUCUUUUAAAAAUAACAAGGAAUCAGAAAAUAACAAUUCAACAGUUGCAACACGAUGCGAAGAAAAAACAACAUAAGAUUGAUAGGGAUAAAUGAAAAAGAAGGGGACAACACAAAUGAUAUCAAGAGGCUAUUUACAAAAGUAAUAGCUAAGAAUUUCCCAAACAUGAGAAUGGAAACUGACAUUAGAAUUAGUGAAGUGUAUAAAACUCCAAAUAGCCAAAACCAAAAUAAAACUACACCGAGACAUGUAACAAUCACCAUCCCAGAAAUCCAACAUAAGAACAGAAUAUUAAAAGCUGUCAGAGAGAAAAGACAGAUCACCUAUAAAGGAAAGCCUAUCAGAAUCACAGCAGACUUCUCAGCACAAACAAUAAAGUCAAGAAGAGCAUGGAGCCAGGUGUGGUAGCUCAUGCCUGUAAUCCCAGCACUCCGGAGGCUGAGGAAGGAGUGAGGGCAUAGGAGACGAUUCUGCAAGUUUGAGACCAGCCUGGGCUACACAGUGAGCUCAAGGCCAGCCUGAACUGCACAGUGAGACCCUGUCUCAAAAAGACCAAAAAAAAAAAAAAGAAGAGCAUGGAGUGAAUUAUUUCAGAUCCUAAAGGAAAAUGAUUUCCAGACUAGACUGAUGUACCCCACAAAACUGUCCUUCAAAAUCAAUGGAGAAAUAAGAUACUUCCAUGACAAAGAACAGCUGAAGAACUUCAUGAUCACCAAACCAACCCUGCAAAGAAUACUCAAAUAUUCACAUAGGAAUAUUUGAUACACAUAGGAAAAUACACAUUGGGAAAAGCCACUAAGGCAGACAAUUAAACAGAAUGGAAAGAUAAAGAUGCAACAGCAGAAAGAUAACAUAUCAACAAUAAACCAACAUAUAACAGUUAUAACCAUUAAUGUAAAUGGUCUCAAUGCACGAAUUAAAAGAAACAGACUGGCAGAAUGGAUCAAGAAACAACCAUAUCCUGUCUACAAGAAACCCAUUUAACCCAAAAAGAAACUCACAAAUUGAAAGUCAAAGGAUGGAAAAGAAUACUUCAUGCAACAGGAACCCCCCCCCAAAAAAAAGCGGGAUAGCUAUUUGUUUACAGACAAUGUGAACUGCAAACCAAGAAUGAUCCUAAGAGAUAAAGAAGGUUACCACCUACUACUUAGGGCAAAACUUCAAGAGGAAGAGAUAGCAAUCUUAAAUAUAUAUGCACCAAAUUCCAGAGCAUCAAAUUAUACAAAGCAAGUAUUAAUAGAAACGAAACAUCAAAUAAGCAAUAACAUAAUUAUAACAGGAGACCUUAACACACCAUUGACACUAAGGGACAGAUCAACCAGGCAGAAAAUCAGCAAAGAAAUAGCAGAACUGAAUCACACCUGUGAAGAAAUGGACAUGAUAGACAUAUACAGAGUGUUCCAUCCAACAUCAGAAUAUACAUUCUUCUCAGCAGUACAUGGGACAUUCUCUAAAAUAGAUUAUAUACUAGCCCAUAGACCAUAUUUAAGUAAAUGCAAAAGAGUUGAAAUUAUCCCAUGUAUGUUAUCAGAUCAUAUUGCCAUGAAACUAGAAAUUAAUGAUAACCUGCAAAAACCCCACAACCACAUGGAAAUUGAAUAAUACACUCUUGAGCAAUCAGUGGGUUACAGGGCAAAUUAAAGAAGAAAUUAAACAAUACCUACAAUCAAACAAAAAUACAAAUACAACUUACCAGAAUCUGUGGGAUGCAAUGAAAGUGGUCCUCAGAGGAAAAUUCAUUGCACUGAGUUCCCACAUCAGGAAAACAGAAUGAAUACAAAUAAACAACUUGAUGCUACACUUUAAACAUCUGGAAAAAGAAACACAAGUCAAACCCAAAGACAAAAGAAGGGAGGAAAUUAUAAAAAUCAGAGCAAAAAUUAAUGCAAUAGAGACUAAGAAAACAAUCCAAAGAAUUAAUGAAUCAAAGAGUUGGUUCUUGGAAAGAAUGAAUAAAAUUGAUAAGCCCCUAGCCAACCUUAUUUAAAAAAGGGAAGAAAAAGCUCAAAUUCAUGCAAUAAGGAUUGAAAAAGGGGAAAUCACUACAGACUCUGUGGAAAUACAGAAGAUCAUCAAAACCUAUUUCAAAAACCUCUACUCUCAUAGAUUCGAUAACACAGAUGAAAUGAACAGAUUCCUAGAAGCAUAUGAAGUACCAAUUCUGGGUCUAACCCAAUUUCUAUUGAUGAAAUUGAAAAUGCAAUUAAGUCUUUACCUACAAAGACGAGCCCAGGCCCAGACAGAUUCACUGAAGAAUUCUACAAGAAAUACAAAGAAUUAAUGCCAACACUCCUCUAACUCUUCAAUGAAAUUGAAAGGGAAGCAAUUCUUCCUAAGUCAUUCCUGGAAGCAAAUAUUACUCUAGUACUAAAACCUGAGAAAGACCCAACUAAAAAAGAGAACUAUAGACCAAUCUCCCUAAUGAACACAGAUUCAAAAAUCCUCAAUAAAAUAUUGGCAAACAGGAUGGAGCAAAUCAUCAAGAAGAUUAUACACCAAGACCAAGUGGGAUUCAUCCCAGGAAUGCAGGGAUCGUUCAACAUACAUAUAUCAAUACAUGUAAUCCACCAUAUCAAUAGAGCCAAAAAUAAGAAUCACAUGAUCAUUUCUAUAGAUGCAAAAAAAGCUUUUGAUAAGGUCCAACACUCAUUCAUGCUAAGAAACCUUCAGAAAAUUGGAAGAGAUGGUCUUUACCUCAAUAUGAUAAGGCCAUCUAUGACUAACAGCCAGCAUCAUAUUAAAUGGCCAAAAACUAAAGGCCUUUACUUUAAAAUCAGGCACAAGACAAGGAUAUCCCUUAUCACUGCUCAUAUUCAAGAUUGUACUGGAAAUACUAGCCAGAGCAAUUAGACAAGAGAGAGAAAUAAAAGGGUUAAAGAUAGGAAAAGAGGAAGUUAAGUUAUCAUUAUUUGCAGAUGACAUGAUAUUCUACAUAGAAGACCCCCAAAACUCCAUUGAAAGACUCCCAGAUAUAAUAAAUAAAUUCAGCAAUGUAGCUGGAUACAAAAUCAAUACUCAAAAAUCAAUAGCAUUUCUAUACACUAACAACAAAAUCACUGACAGAGAAAUAAGAGAAGCCACACCCUUCACACUAGCAUCCAAAAAAAUGAAAUACUUAGGAAUUAAUCUCAUAAAAGAUUAUACAAGGAAAAUUAUAAUGGUCUGAAAAAGAAAUUGAAGAUAAUCUCAGAAAAUGGAAAGACAUCCCUUGUUCAUGGAUAGGAAGAAUAAAUAUUGUGAAAAUGGCCAUUCUCCCAAAACUGUUAUACAGAGUCAAUGAAAUCCCAAUGAAAAUACCAUUAAUAUACCGCAUAGAUCUAGAAAAAUCACUCCUAAAAUUCAUCUGGAACCAGAAGAGACCUAGAAUAGCAAAAGAAAUUCUAAGCAGCAAAAGGCCAGGCAGGAGGCAUCAUAAACCCUGACUUGAAGUUAAACUACAAAGCAACUGUAAUAAAAUCAACAUGGGACUGAAUUAAAAACAGAUCUGAAGAUCAACAAAAUAGAUUAGAAGAUACAACCACAACUACAAACACACUCAACCACCUUAUCUUUGAUAAAGGAGCCAAGCAGGUUCACUGGAAGAACGACAGUCUCUUUAAUAAAUAGAAAAACUGGCUCUCCAUAUGUCAAAAACUAAAACUAGACCCAUGUCUAUCACCAUGUACUAAACUAAAAUGUAAAUGGAUCAAAGACCUGAAUAUUAAAACAGAAACACUAAAUCUGUUGGAAGACAAAUUAGGUAAAAAUCUUGAAGACAUAAGGGUAGGUAGAGAAUUCAUGAACAGGAAUCAAACCUCACGGGAAAUACUUCCCAGAAUCAAUAGCUGGGAUCACAUCUUAUUAAAAAGUUUCUGCAUGUCAAAAGAAAUGUCCAGCAUAGUAAAAAGAAAACCCACAAACUGGAAAAAAAACUUAGUGAACUGUUCUUCAGACAAAGGACUUCUGUCUAAAACAUAUAAAGAAUUUUAAAAAAUCAGACCCCCAAAAUUCAAAGACCCAAUCCAAAAAUGGGCAUCUGAGAUGAAUACAUACUUCUCAGAUGAAGAUAUACAAAUGGCAAAUAAAUACAUGAAAAAAUGUUCAUCAUCAUUAUUUGUUAGAGAAAUGCAAAUUAAAAUCACACUGAGAUUCUACCUCACUCCUGAAAGAAUGGCCAGGAUCAAGAAAACUGCCAACAACAAAUGCUGGAGAGGCUGUGGGGAAAAAGGAACUCUCCUGCACUGUUGGUGGGAGUAUAGACUGGUGCAACCAUUGUGGAGGUCAGUCUGGAGAUUUCUCAAAAAGCUGAGAUUGGAAAUCCCAUUUGUUCCAGGUAUUCUACUUCUAAGCAUAUUCCCAGAAGAACUGAAAACAUCAUACCACAGUGAUAUAUGUGCACCCAUGUUUAUAGCAGCACAGUUUGUAAUAGCCAGAUCUUGGAAACAAACUAAGUGUCCAUCAACUGAGGAAUGGAUAAAAAAGUUGUUGUAUUUCUAUACAAUGGAGUACUACUCAGCUAUAAAGAAUGAUCACAUUGAGAUAUUUAUAAAUAAACGGACACAGCUUGAGACCAUAUUCAUAAGUGAAAUGAAUCAAACUCACAUGUAUAAAUACCAUAUAGUCUCCAUAGUGUAAGAAAUGGUAAGAGUACAUAAGAGUUUAUGGUAAUCAUGAAUCCCCAUUACAUUGCUUUGAAGCCGUAUAAUGUUUUCUUUCAUUAGUUGAAAUGGUUUUAUUCUGGUUUGUUUGAUUUUAUUAUCUGUGAUGGUAUGAACAGCUAUUUUGAAGAAAACAUGACAUUAUAAUAGCCAGUUCUGAUUUAAUAUCAUCUUCCUUGGAAGUCCUACCAUGCUUUUGUUCUUCUGUUUCCAUUGGUUCUAUCAUGUUGUAUCUUACUGGGUUUUAUUAUGUGUGAUAAUAUAAACAAAAUUUUUAUGGACAUUGAGAUAAUAUAGUAGCCAUUGUUGCUUUUCUGUUAUUUGGUUCUAACACUUUUAUUGUAACACUGUAACACUUUCAUUCUCUUGAAUGGUUUUAUACUAUUUUGUAUGUUUGAUACUAUUGUAUAUGAAGCUAUGCUCAGCUAGUUCAAAGAAAGAGACAUUACUGUAUUUCUAAAUGUACUAUUGGUUUGGUAUUAUUUUUGAUUAUUGUUUUAUAUCAAGUAAAUGCUUUUAAUUCCAUAAUAUGUAUUUUUUAUGAAGAAUAACUUUAUAAGGGCCUUUACCAAAUGAUUAAUUCAGGUACAUUUGCAGUUGUUUGAGAACUUGAUCUGCAUAGGUUGUUCAUUUUCAAUUUUUUUGUUAGGUUGGCUAAUCACUAUAUAGUUCAUUUAUUGUGGGAGACAACUGCAGUGACUCCCUUUGAAUCCAAAACAAUUACUGUGACUUUGAUUAUUUGGAGACUCAUUUCCCUAUACUGAUAUGUAAAAAGCUGGCAGGGUAUUUCCUUCUCUCUUCAAUUGGCUCUGAGCAUUGCAAAUAAGGCUAUCUGAGGUGCUAUUAUGCAAUCUCUAUAGCCGACAGACAGUCCUGUUUCCUAGCAUGGUGUUCUCCAUGCACAGGCCUGAGCACUGGAGAUGUUAGAGCAAACAGCUCCGGGAAUGUCAGCGGGCACAGCCUCAAGAUAGGAGGCCAUGACUCCCCGGGGGCACAAGAGUUUGCAUGUCAGAAAUGGAAGUAUAGCCCCCCAAAACAAUCCCACCGCUACCUUAAUUGGGUUAUGUAGAUUGAUCCUUCUGCAUAUCUUUAUCUCUGCGACUUACAGAGAUGCCAGUCUUGCACCUGGCCAGCCAGCUCAAGUUACUCCUGCAAUUCUCGCCUCCCCCACUGUCCCUCAUCCCUGAGCCACCCCGCUUCUACACAAGAUAAUAAAUGCUGGGAGAGGCCUAGGAUCAAGGCCUUUGUCCACCUGUCCUUGUGAGGAUUGGAUUUAGGGCCCCUUGGCUGCCCUGAACUUAGAAUAUAUCUUGGUGUCUUUACUCUUGCCGUGGGUUGGAUUGGUGGUGGUAGAUUGGAAUUAACUUAUUGGGAUUCCAGUAACAUCUCAAUGGGAUUACAAAUAUAACCUUUUGGAUUGUGAGGAAAACUAAAAAGAGGAUUACAAUAUUUGGAUAACUGAAAUCAAUAUUUGGAUUUACAAUAAUUUUUAUCUUGAAAAAUUAUUUUAUGAUGACAGAAUCAUAUUUUGCUGGGGAAAGCCACUUGUAUCUGUUAUAUGAGACAUUUUUUGACUAUUUGUUCAGCAAAUAAGGUGGCACUGUGGGUACAGCUUCUGCAGGUUUCAGUAGCUGAUUCCUGUACAUCAGGUAUGCUCUAUCUUAAAGUCAGUAGGACAUAUACAAUUUUGGUUCUGAGGACCUAGAUUUAUCAGAAAUCUAUACGGCACUUCACAAAAAAUAUAUGCCAUAUAUUUUUUAACAUGAGCUAGGUCGAGCCUCUCUGAUAUCACAGAGUUUUGUAAUAAUUGCCUCAUCAAAGUGUGUUUAUCUUAUACUGGUCUUGUUUAUAACACCAUGCAAAGUGUUGCUAGAAUGCAGCUAGAGCUCCAAAAGUUUGGGAUAGCUCUAAAUCAGCCCACAUUCUUCCCAACUGAGCCAAAGGCAUAGAUAAUGCUAAAUUUCAUGAAACUGAUUAUACAAUAGCAGCACAUUUUUGGCAUUUUGUGACGGUCAUUGACCUCUGUGUUGCAAAAUCCAACAGAUAUUUUUUCAGUUCUCAUUUGCUUUCGGGUUUCUUAGUGGUAUGCCGAGCACUAACACCACCUUCUUAAAAAGUCUGACUUUUGUGGCCAACUCCAAGUCACUCCUGGCUUCUCUUCCAACCUAGGAAUGUGAACUUAGUUUCCCCUUUAAACUCGGGAAAUCAAAUCUCAGGUUUUGCUGGUUGGUUUGUUUUGCCAUGCAGGGACUGCACCCAGGACCUCAGGUGUGCAAAGCGUAAGCCCUACCACUGAGGUGCUUGUGCCACAGCCCAGCUCUCAGUGUUAGGACUCCCAGGGAUUCAGUGUCAUUUAAUGACUUUUAUAUUCCCUGGAGAGCAGGGAUCACAACCUGAUUCCUUGUGGUUAUGGUUACACCAUUUUUAAAUGACAAAACUCUCUGAAUUUGAGUAUUUCAGGAGAGACAUGCUUUCUCUCCCCUCCCACAGCCUCUCUGUCUGAAAGCAUUGGCGACCCUUGUGUUGCCUAAGCUUGUCCUUGCCGCUGUAAGGCUCCUGCCACCUGAGUCCCCCUCACCAGCCACCUGCGCUCCUUAUCUCCCAGUGGUAGCACAUCUGUCUCAAGUUGAAUUUCCAGAUGUUUCAGACUACAAAGAGAUUCCUGUUAAUCAUCUGAUGCUGCCCUAUACUCUGCUUUAACUGUGCAUGCAGCAAUGUGUUAUAUUUCCUUUAUGCAAUUAUUUGAAUAUCAUCUGACUCGCCACUUGACUAAAUUCCAGAAGAGCUGGGUGUGUGUAUAUUUAUCCUUGCACUCUCAGCAGCUAGCUCAGUUAUCUCAUGAAUGUUUUAAGGAAGUAAACGUGCUCUUUUUGAAAGAUAACUGAUAUAUUUCAAACUUGCAAAUAUUAGCUAUUGAGAGGGCCUAGAGUGGUAAUAUACUUGGAAUUUUAAUUCACUCGAAGUAAACACUGUUACAUUUUAUUAAGACAAGGUAUCUCUCCACUCUUUGUUUAUACAGCAAACUUUAUCAUUCCUCUUAUAUGGCCAGAUUCCUCCUACAGUUUAGAAAGAUGUGUAAGUGUCUUCAUUUUUCACAGCAUAGCACACUUCUUCAAAGGAAGGGUAACUUCCUGAAUUAGUCCAUCAGAGAACUGUCAUAAAAAAUUAAAAACCUUCUUUCUAAGCAUAAACAUUAACCAACAUGAAGUUUCUAAAAAGACUGGGGGAGGCAGGGACAAGGCUCAGCAGUACAGUGUCUGUCUGACAAGCGUGAGGUCAUGAGUUCAAUUCUGGUACUAAAUAAAAUAAAAUAAAAGACUGGGGCUGGGCAUGUACCUCGGUCGGCGGCAGACCAUGUUUAGCACUUACAGGCCUGUCUUAGUUAUUUUUCUUGUUGCUGAGACAAAGUUAAGGAAGGAAAGUUUUGCUGAGCUCAUAGCUUAUCCAGGUGUCAGUCUAUAAUCAGCUGGAACAGGGGAUUUAGCUCAGUGGCAUAAGCACCUGCCUGGAUCCCCAGUACAAAAAACAAAGCCUUCGAUAUAGAUAAUAAUCAGCUGGCUCCCCGGCAGGGUAGCACAUAGCAGAGGGGCAAUAGUUCAUGGCAGCAGGAGACAGCAUAAGCAAUGAGCAAAAAAGGGGAAACAAAUCCCUUUCUGCCCCUUUUAUCCUAUCCAAACUACUGGGAUUAGGGCGGUGAAAAUCUAACGGUAGACUGAUUCAGCUCUCAACCACCCUUAAUCCCUACACCUUUAAACCCACCAGUGCGUUACCUAUUAAUCACACAGUCUAGAUUCAGCUACCUCCCCAAAAACCAAACAAACAAAUCAAAAACAAACACCACCAUCUAAAAGUACACAAGGCUUUGGAGGUACAUCUAGACACAUGGGCCCGUGUCUAAUCCCCAACACACACACACACACACACACACACACACACACACACACUCACACACACACACACACUCACACACACACACUCACACACACACUCACACACUCACACACACUCACACACUCACACACACACUCACACACUCACACACACUCACACACUCACACACACAUUCACACUCACACACACACACACUCACACACACACACUCACACACUCACACACACUCACACACACUCACACACACUCACACUCACACACUCACACUCACACACUCACACACACACUCACACUCACACACACACACUCACACACACACUCUCACACACACUCACACUCACACACACACUCACACACACACUCACACACACACACACUCACACUCACACACAGGACUGAAUUAUGAAAUGUAAAACUUUUUAUGUUAAAAACCACGAUACAGAGGCUGAGGAUAUAGCUCAGUGGCACAAUGCCUGCUGAGCAAGUACAAGGUCUUGAGUUUGAUUCUUGGUACCAAUAAAUAAAUAAACCAAAAUAUAGCCAGGUGUGGUGGUGCACACCUAUAAUUUCAGCAGUUGGGAAGAUUAGAAGGAUCACAUCUUGGUGUCUUAGCAAGACCCUGUCUCAAAAAUUUUUUUAGAAAGGGCUGGGGAAUAGCCCAAUGUGAAUGAAUGCCCUAGAUUUCAUGACCAAUACCACAAAAACAAAAAUAUAAAUUGUAUAGUAUACAACUAUUAAAAAGAAAACUGCAUGUAUUAAAUUUGAGGUAUGUGUAAGACACAGUCAUGUACCAAGUCAAAUAUACUAUGUAUGUGUUUCCAGUUUUGAAAAGAAAUAAAAUUGGUAGAAUAUGCAUAAGAAAAACAUGUAGGAAUAUAUACCAAAUUUUCAACUUGAAAUAAUAAAAUAUGGGAAAUUUUCAGUAUAUAUUCAGUAUUAAUUUUUAUAUUAUUUUUAUGUUUUUAAACCGGGCAUGUAUUACUGUUGUAUUAUGUACCAAAAAAGGUAAAUGUACAAAAAAAUAUAACUCAAUUGGAACAAAUAUAUGUCAUCACAUAUGUAUAGCCAUAUUACAAAUGCUUCCAAAUGAAUAACAAGACAAACACCAAGAUAUAUUUUUAAAAAUAGAACAUGUACAUGAAAAACAGUCCAUAAAGGAGGCAUGGUGGCACACACCUGGAAUCCCGCAACUUUGGGAGAAUCACAAGUUCAAACCCAGCCUGGACAAUUUAGCAACUUAGUGAGAGCUUGUCUCAAAAGUAAAAAUCUGGGGAUGUGGUUCAGUGCAAAUGCCCUGGGUUCUAUCUCCAGUACUAAAAAGAAAAGAAAAGAAAAAGAAGAAAUACAAAGCUGUCUUGGUUACUUUUCUAAUCAUGGAGACAAAAUACCCAAUAUCCAAGGUUAAAGGCGUAAAGGUUUAUUUCAGCUGUUUGUAGAGGCUCCAUUCCAGAGACGGCUGGCUUUAAGGGAGGGUGGCAUGGGAGAGGAGCACUGCAGAACAGAAACAGUCCAUGGCAAAGCAGGACAGGCAGAAGUCUCCCUGCACCGCGGCAUCACACACCCUAUAUCCAGCCACCACUUAAGAGCCCCACCUAUGACCACAUGAGGCUUUAAGGAGACAGAUACAAGCCAUAUCAAAAUCACUGUAAGCAUCAGAAAAGAAUUUUCAUGGAUAAUCAAGUUACAGGCAGCUAAAUUAGAUAGAAAUUAAUAUACAAGUCAGGGAGGGACUGGACAGUCACAGCAGUCAGCAGGAAGAACAGACAUCAGAACUGUCACUGAAGGCCCAUCUGAAGACCAGGCCUCGAAGAUGCAAUGGCCAGACCACAGACCUCCCCAAGGGAUAAACGGUAACUUAGAAUCAUACUAUAAUCAGCACCGUCUGGUCCAGAAAGUCCAGCUAGGAAUCGGUCAUCCAGGUAAGUUCCUUCUGUGCAGUCUCACUACAUGACUUACUUUCUACUGGACCAAUAUUAGCUAAGCGGCUCUACCUGUAAUCCUAGAGAUUGACUGUAAAAAUGUGUGCCCACAUUUUUAUCCAUAUUGUGACUUUUCUGUGUAAAUUAUCCCUGACAGUUGCUAUUACCGUGGACAUACUAUCUGCCUGGUUUCAGCUUGGCUUUUAAGAUACAGCAUUUUGUACUGUAACUUAUCUGUUUACGAUGUUAAAAUAAUCAUUUGGUAUCUUCGCAUAGUCUUCCAAGUGAUACUUCCUAAUGGCUGCAUGUGAGAAAUGAAUUUACUGUCCAGAUCGCCCCGCUAAAAACAAACUGGACUCCAGAGGCAGUGAAAGUGAAGCUUUAAUCCAGUGGCAGUGAACCUACUGUGUACAUGUUGUUUUUCUUUUAACACAAAAGAUGUUAAUGCAUGAGUUGUGUUUUCUCAACUACAACCCCAGCAUUCAGGUUCGUUUGCAGCAUUGGUUGCUCUGUGAUAAGUAAGAGGGUUUGGGGUACAGUCUGGGCACCAUCACUGCUUUAGUCUAUACUCUUGCAAGAGUGGUGCCCAGACAGACACAACAGAGAUGAGGAGCUACGUGCUUUUAAUUCAGAAGAACCUGUUUGGUAAUUAUCUCUUGCCCCAGUACCUUAUCUCUGGCGUGAGUCUUUUUACAGCCUGUGGGCCAUUGUUUACUACUUGACCCAGCUCACCCUGUGAAUAAGGGCUCAACAGAGUGGUUAAUUAAACAUGGACCAAUUAAAAAAUUUUUAAUCCAUUAAAA